GGAGAAGGGGUGGGAAGAUCAGACCCUUUUAUUGGCUUGAAGAACAGCCUGACCUCUAACACAUCCUGCGAAGACUGAUGUCAUGUAGCCGGGAGGUGUGCUCCUUAGCCCGCCUGUGCUCUGCCAUCCCUGUCAGUUGUAAGCCCCUGGACAUGCCCAAAGCCCCUACAGGUCCCUGCAGAAGAAAUCCUGAGGCUGAAACAGAAAGGGAGCCUCUGUCUUUGAACCUAUCUAUGGCGGUGGUUCCGCUUUAAGGUGGAAGAUCACUGGACCAAGCCAUGGGACAGCCUUCGAUCCAGGGUGCAGUGCAUGUGAACUAUGAGCCUGGAGGGAGUCUGGGGCAUCAUGGCUAUUGGGAUUCCUGAAGAUCGUACCUCAGGACCGAGAGUUGAAGGAUUAUGGAAGGAUUUCUUCCUGCAGUGUUGUAUUACCAAGAGUGGGCAUUAGGUGAAACAGGUGUGGGCUGUGCAUUCUCUGCUCUGCUCAGUAUUCAGCCUUGCUUUCAGUGUUCAGGCCACACAGGGCCUUAGAAGCCACUCUACGGAUGUUCCAGUGCUAUAGGAAUGGAAGCCAUCGAGGUCCAUGUGCUAAGGUCUUGGCCCCCACAGUGGAGGGACUGGAACCUGAAGCUGAAAGGGACUGGCAGAAGAUGUGUGGGCAUUGUGAUAUGCCCUUAAAAGGCACCGUGAGACUCUCCUCUUCCCUCUCUCUGGACACAAGGAACAAGGCUGGACCCUCUGGUCCUAAUGCUGGACCACCAAAGCAGCUAACAUUCCCUGAUGAGGACAGACCCAGACCAAGCCCAUUUUUGGUCUUAGCUCCCGCAAUAGGAAGAUAAGGUCUAUAGCCCUGAUCAAUGCCUGCUGAGCCUCUUAGAUAAGCUCUGAAGUAGCUCUUCACCAUGCUGGCCCUGGUCAUAGUCUGCAAAACUCUGUUGGAGCCAUUACAGCAUUAUAAAAUUACUGUAGUGGGUCAUAGUCACUACAAAAGCAGAAAAUAUUAGCAAAGAUCAACUGAUGUGACACAUGGUAAAUAAUCUUUUAAACAUUAAUUUCCACCAUCUUUAUACAGGGUUUUCACAUUGUUAUAACUGUAUCUCUACAUUCACAUGUUGAACCAAACACCUGGUGCCUUGAAAAAUGACUGUAUUUAAAAAUGGAGACAAUGGCCUGAAAGAGUUGAUUAAAUUGAAAAGGUACCAUGAGGUGUAAUAAUUGACUUGAACUGUCAACUUGACUUACCUGAAGUGUGAUAGAAAACCAGUCAUAACACCAUUAGCAAAGGGAUUGCCAAAGAUGAUUGGCAGCCAGGUCAGGGAGCUGAGAGGGAAGGACCCUAAAUGCCAAUGGUACUAGCCCAUGGUCUCUGGCCUGAACAAUCAAACAUGGAGAGGUGAGAGUGUCCCUGCUCAUGCUCUUGACCCUUCUUCAGAAGGUGCAUUUUAUGUGCUGAUACUGUGGGCACCUGAUUCCUAAUUCUGUGGAUAUCCCAGUCUUUAACUGGGACUGGAGCCAUAACAUGGAUCUUUCUUAUUUUGAGGUUUCUAGUUUCUUGAAGGAAGCAGCUACUGGUUUCCUGCAUCUUCAGCCUGCAGAUGUCUACUGUUGGUGAACAUCCAGGCUGUGACUGAACAAGCCAAUCAGAUAAAUCCUCUCUCAUAAUUGUAUGUAUUCCUUUGACUCUGGAGAACCCUGACUGAUUCAGUUUGGUAGAUCUUAGUCUAAUAUGACUAUUGUCUUAAUAAGAGAGAAUAGGCCAAAAACACACAAGGGGGGAAGUGUAGCAGACUUUGGGGCUACCAGCCAGCUCCCAAAGAAAGACAUAACAUGGAGACUUAUGAAUUCUCAGCCUUAGCCUUUUUUUUUUUUUUUUGGUCCCAUUAACUCUUAUAACUUAAUUUAACCU